AUUGAACGCUGGCGGCAGGCCUAACACAUGCAAGUCGAACGAGUGGCGGACGGGUGAGUAAUGUCUGGGAAACUGCCCGAUGGAGGGGGAUAACUACUGGAAACGGUAGCUAAUACCGCAUACCAUCGGAUGUGCCAAGAUGGGAUUAGCUAGGAGGUGGGGAAACGGCUCACCUAGGCGACGAUCCCUAGCUGGUCUGAGAGGAUGACCAGCCACACUGGAACUGAGACACGGUCCAGACUCCUACGUGAGGCAGCAGUGGGGAAGUUUGCACAAUGGGCGCAAGCCGGAUGCAGCCCUGCCGCGUGUAUGAAGAAGGCCUUCGGGUUGUAAAGUACUUUCAGCGAGGAGGCGUUACUCGCAGAAGAUGCACCGGCUAACUCCGUGCCAGCAGCCGCGGUAAUAC
rnacentral:rRNA from 1 species